GUUUUAAUUCUGCUCCCAUGUUCAUGGGCUGCUACUUACUUUAAAAAAAAAGAGAUUAGAAGGUUCAGAUUUAGAGCAGCAAAUUGCUCUGCUAAUCUGCAGGCUAUGGAGCACAUCUUUCCUUCUGGAUGUUGUCAGCAAUGUUGGGAAUGUCUUCAGAGUUGGGAUUUGGACCUGGACCUCCCGCCAUCCCUGGGCGUGUUCAUCAGGCUAUGGGUGUAAUCAGGAUACAGUUUCCUCUCCAGAAGUUCACCA